ACAAACGAGAACCAAGAAACAGCUACUGAAUAUCCUUUUGUUUUCUAGAGAUCUCCAGGAAAAAGUACAAGAUAAAGGCAAUGGCAGUGUUACAAAUAGAUCGAAAAAUACACCCGUGGAGAAGGCGCCUGAUGGGCAAAAAAGGAAGAAUCAUUCUUAUUACAAAUGGGUACCAGGGGAGUUAGCUGCUACGAAGAAGUUCAAGGCCGACCAGAAAGCCGUGCAGUCCAUACCCACAGUUGCACCUGGGUGGGUCUACAACAAGACAGCUGCUGAUUUGUUUCGGAAACAGAUAAAACACGGCAAUCACAUUAAAAACGGAGAUUUUCUGACAACACAA